CAUAGCUCAGCUGGAUAGAGCAACGGCCUUCUAAGCCGUAGGUCGCAGGUUCGACUCCUGCUG
rnacentral:tRNA from 1 species